rnacentral:rRNA from 1 species
AACGAACGCUGGCGGCAGGCUUAACACAUGCAAGUCGAACGCCCCGCAAGGGGAGUGGCAGACGGGUGAGUAACGCGUGGGAAUCUACCCUGAUCUGCGGGAUAGCUCCGGGAAACUGGAAUUAAUACCGCAUAUGUCCUGAGGGACAAAGAUUGAUCGGUUCAGGAUGAGCCCGCGUCCGAUUAGCUAGUUGGUGGGGUAAAGGCCUACCAAGGCGACGAUCGGUAGCUGGUCUAAGAGGAUGAUCAGCCACAUUGGGACUGAGACACGGCCCAAACUCCUACGGGAGGCAGCAGUGGGGAAUAUUGGACAAUGGGCGCAAGCCUGAUCCAGCCAUGCCGCGUGAGUGAUGAAGGUCUUAGGAUUGUAAAGCUCUUUCACCGGGGACGAUAAUGACGGUACCCGGAGAAGAAGCCCCGGCUAACUUCGUGCCAGCAGCCGCCGCCG